UUCAUACUACAUUUGUAAACACUUUUAUUUUUAAUGCAAAUCUUCUUUUAGCCUAAUCUUGCAUUGUCUCUACUCUCUUUCUACAAGAGAAAUGAUUCUUAGUACCACCCUAUAUGCUUAAGGGCUUUUGGGAAAAGAAGAUCUUAUGAUUAUAAUUAGUGUAGAUCUUAUAAUUGUUUUAAUUAAUCGUUAAAGCUCUUUUAAAUCCUAACACAAAAAUAAUUUGUGUGGGGGUUUAAACAUUCAGAUUUUAUACAUUAUUUAAUGUUAAUGUUGCAUUCGACUUAAGAUAAUAUAUAUAGUUUUUAUGAUAAUUACACUAAUCGAGUUGCUCUGUUUUCAAAAUCCCAAAACACACCUCCCCUGUUUUCAUUUUAAAACCCCUGUUUUCUUUCCAUUUGAAACCCCACCUCCUUGUUCUCACCGAGUUGCAGCCAGCUGGGUAGUCCUGUUUUGCCGAGUUGACUCGCUGCGGUGUCGAUUUUAGUUCCCCGUCGAGUCUAGUACCGAGUUUAGUGCAUACCGAGUCGACCCUGUUCUGUUUUUAGUCGCAAGUAUUAGUUUCCGAGUCAAUGAAUUCAAAAGGAUGGCUAGUGGAGGAGUCGUUUGUAACUUUCUCGCCAUUAUAAUAUUGAAGAUUUGAAGAUGGGCUGAAGAUGGAGGUAUAGCUAGGGAACUGUGGUCUCCCCUGACAGCUGAUAUGAUAUGGAAUGAAAACGAACCUCUUGAUGCCGAAAUUAAUAAAUGAUCUACAUUUUCGGGAACGUAUUUAUAUCUUCAAUAAAUGAAAAAUUAAACUGAACCAAAGAUAACAAUUUUGGGGCUUAAAAAAUGGAAACGGUAUAGAUAUCACAAGAAAUUUAAAAAAAAAAAUAUGUCAUAUUUUAAUUAGCAGAAUUGAUGUAUAAAAAAAUAUCCAAUAUAUUUAUUAAUAUGUAACUGAUAACAAAUUGACACGUUAUUCUCCUUAAUAAAAUAAGAGUCUGUUUGAGAAUCCUGUUAAAAAUUGCUGUGCUUUGAGAAAAAGUGUUGGUAAAAUAAGUGUUAUUGUAAAUAUGAGAUGAUUGUUUGGUAAUUUUUUUUGUGAAAUUUGCUUAUUUUGAAUUAUAAUAUUUAAAAAGACAUGUUUUUGGCGAGGUUUGAAAGUGAAAUUUAUGAAAAUUUCCUGCAAAAGCUCAAAAUUUUUAGUUAAAAAUUGCUAUUCAAAAAAGCUAAUUUUAAACAUGCUUUUUUGCAAAAAGCUUCUCAGUAAAAGCAAUAUGAAACGAUAUGAUAAGUGGAGGAAAGGGAUGAGUUAGAAAUUAUGACAUGACAACAAAAAAAAUACUAAAUACGAAUAAAGUAAAAGAAAUAUGAAAAAAGAAAAGUAUUCGUUUUAAGAACUACAGUAGUAUUUAACACAAGCUGUUGAUCUAAUGUCUUUUUUAAGAGCAGACAGGCAGGGGUAGAAUGAAUUGAUUAUUCCAUGAGGAAAUUUGUUAGAAAAUGUUUAGAGUCUCUUUGGAUUGAUCUAAAAUUAUAUUUACGAUGUAUGAUUAUUUUCUAUGAUUAUUUCUGUGAUAUAUAUUUAAUUUAGAUAAUUUUCAAUCGCAUCUCUAAUUUUUUAAAUUUUAUAAUUAAAAUUAGAUAAAUAGCAUUAUAGAUAAAAAUCAUAGGGUAUAUGUAUAAAAUUAUUCUUUCCAAUCUCAAAUUUUUCUAUUUGAAAAUUUCACCAAACUAUUUUAUAUUGGUUAUAUUUUUUAAUAUCUAGAGACUUUUAUCAAGAUCUCACAUUUCCUAUCACUAUAGUGAAAAUAAUAUUGUUAUAUUCGUACCAAUUUGAAAUAAUAACAACUUAUUAUUUAAUAAAUACACCAAACUUUUAUAGCCAAUAUGAUCAGAAAACAACGCUAUAAAUAACUUAUUUUACAUAAUUAAAAUUGAAUAUAUUAUUUUGACCUUGGAAAUGCUCUUGAAUCGUGUGUUUGGACAAUUAUGUAUUACUUGAGAAUUAUUAAAAAUAUUAUAAUAAAAUACAUUUGAUAUCUUAUUUAUUUAUUUGUCAAUAUUGAUUUUUAAUAAAAAACUAUUAAAACACGGUUGAUCAAAAAAUUAAGUUCUGCUGAUUUCAGAUUUAUUUUUAAUCUUAAAUCUGAAUCUUAUUUAUUAAAUAAAUAAAUAUUAUUCAACUUAAAUUGACACUAUUUUUAUGUACUUGGGAUUGACACUAUUUUCAUGUACUUGGGAUUGUAGGCUGCGUUUGCGAUCAUUGUGCAAGACUUAGAUAAUAAAAUGUGUUUUCACAAAAUUAUCUACACUACUAGAAAAGCGGGCAUUUCCGACCAAAAUUUCCGACCGACCAAAGUGGUCGGAAAAAAGGCGAGCAUUUCCGACCGACGUACCGACCAAACGAGAUCGGUCGUAAAAAUUCGGGUCAUUUACGACCGCCAUUACCGACCGCACAAAAUCGGUCGGUUAUAAGGGUCGUGGGUCCCGCUCAGCAACAUCCUUCAGCUGACAUGGACGCCACGUCGUUAAAACCGACCGACACAUUUCCGACCGCCUGUGGUCAUUUCCGACCGCCUAGACUAGUUUAAAAUAAUUGGUCAACUUCUUACUUGUUGUCGCCUUGUGAUUGGCUGAGUGGGGACGUGGUGGAGCCCAGCUUUAUUUCCGACCGACGGCGGUCGGAAAUGACUUGCUUCGUUUCCGACCGAAUUAAAACCCUGGCGGUCGGUUUUGACUUCUUAGAAAAACAAUAAAUUCUAUUCGACUAAGUAAACUAUUAAAAAAAACUAAAAACAUUGCAUAUCCAGAAAACCGACCACAUUCAAUAUAUUUCCGACCAAACUUAUAAUUUUAACACAGAAUACCGACCACAUGCAACACAUUUCCGACAAAACUCAUAAUUUUAACACAGAAAACCGACCAAAUUUAAACCAUUUCCGACCAGUCACUCAAGUGCAGAAAACCGACCAAUAAAACCGUCAUUUCCGACCAAUGUAAAACCUUGGCAGUCGGUUAUGACUUGUGAGAAAAAUAAUAAAAUUUUAUUCGGCUAAGAAAACUAUUAAAAAAAUUGAAAAAUAUUGAAACUAACUUUUAAUCAGUUAAUAAUUUAAUAAAAAAUUAUUCAUCACUUAAUAUUUGAUUUUUAAAAUAUUUUUAUUUUUAUAACAAAUUAUAAAUACUAACUAACUAAUUUCAAAUUAAUUAUUCAAACAACAGAAAAAUGUAGAAUCUUUGUGACAUGGUCUAAUUUAGGGUACUAAUCAUAAUAGCAAAAUAAGAAAAAUAUAAAAAAAUUAUAAAGACGCUUUUCUAGUUACGAAUCAUGCAUUGCCUUGAAUGUCGGAGUUCAGGGUUUGGAUUUUAUCAGAAGUUAUCCUAGGUUGUACACUUCCGAAAUAUCAAUUUGUUUUUUUGGCGAUCCAACCGUACGGAUCGUAAAUUAAGUACUCAUCGUAGUUAUAUACCAAAAAUCAAGUCAAUAUGAUUUCAUUUGUUGAGACAUUAUAACGAAAAUAUUAUGUUAUUCUUAAAUAUAGACGUAGAGUUAUUUUGAUAUAAAAAAAUAAAUUUGUUUUUUAGGCGAUCCAACCGUACAGAUCGUAAAUUACGUACUCAUCGUAGUUAUAUACCAAAAAUCAAUUCAAUAGGAUUUUAUUUGUUUAGAUAUUAUAACAAAAAUAUUAUGUUAUUCUUAAAUAUAGACGUAGGGUUAUUUUUUUACCAAAAGAUAAAUUUGUUUUUUAGGCGAUCCAACCGUACGGAUCGUAAAUUAAGUACUCAUCGUAGUUAUAUACCAAAAAUCAAGUCAAUAGGAUUUUAUUUGUUGAGAUAUUAUAGCGAAAAUAUUAGGUUAUACUUAAAUAUGAACGUAGGGUUAUUUUUUUAAGAAAAUAAUUAAUUAAUUUAAAUGAUUCAACCAUACAGAUAUGAAUAUAAUUACUUAACUUAUAUUGGUCCUUAAAAUCAAUCAUUUUGAACAUUAGUUGAAGGAAUAUUAUACUGAAAAUUGAUUUUUUAUUUAUUUUAUUUUGUAAAAUAAAGAUAGGUAUAUAUAUAAGUCCCUUCAAUUUUAACUUAAUGUUGUGGCUGGUCUGAUUGUUGAGCACUGUACUUGGUACUUAGUGGUCCCGGGUUGAAAUCCGCGUGAGGUUUUAUUUUUAGCUUUCCCGGGUUCUUUUUUCACGAAAAGUUAAAACCCCUGCCCAGCUUAAACAACCGUGUUUUGCGUGUAUACGGCCGUCUCGAUCUAUUAUCUCCCCCAGCUCUCUCCUCUCUCUGGUCUUGUCUCUCUCAACUCUCUCUCUCGCAUCUCUCUACGUUCUCUCUCGACUCUCUAUCUCUCUGUAACCCUCUCUCUCUGUAAGCUCUCUCUCCGCCUAUCUCUCUAUGUGCAUCUCUCUCUCCUUGUACACUAUAUGCUUAUUUUAUGGUUUAUCAUAGGGUUUAUACUUACACAUGUGUUAUAGUUUAUGCUCUAUAUGUAUAGUUUAUGGUCGUAUCUCUCUCUGUACACUAUGCUUAUUUUAGGGUUUUGAUUUUUUUUGGCUCUGAUUUGUUAUAAUUUGCUUUAAUCUGGUUCCUAUAUGUUUAUAUUUGCUUUAAUCUGGAUGAAGUUUAGUUGUUUUAGUUUUAUUAUCUGUUUAUAUGAUUUUUUUUGCUAUGUUUUUGUAUCUGGCCUAAUCUGUCAGGUGCUUGCUCUGUUUGUGUUUGUGUUUUAGUUGUUUUGUAUGUUUGUGUGUUAUUAUGUGACUUGUCUGACCUGCAUUUGUAUCAUCUACCUGCAUUUGUAUCAUCUACAUCUAAAACUGGAAGUUAUACGAUAUACAAGGAUGUUGAGCAUAGUAAUGUCCAAUAACCAGAGACAAAAUCUGGAUUCCUAUAGUUUGUACUCGAACAUAACUUGAGUUUUCAUUUAUUCCUUUGUGAAGCCAUUGUUAGCUUUGGGACAAUUUCCAGCACACAAAAGAAGGAAGCUGAGGAACUUGGCAUAGAUUGCUUCUCUUGGGAGGAGUUUUCGCUUCUGGGACAUCUGGAUCAUGAACUACCUACUAGACAGAGAACUGAUACUUGUACAAUAAUGUAUACUAGUGGAACAAUAGGAGAGCCAAUGGGAGUCAUUCUAAGUAAUGGGUCCUUCAUUGGAGAAGUUUUGUCAAUGCACCAACUAUUUGUGGAAAAUGAUAAACCUGCCUUACUGAAAGCUGUGGUGGAUGCUUCGCCUCGAUAGCCAAUGUGAUCUCUAUGCUAGGAACUGUUGGUGUGCCCAUGACAACCAUUGAAGCGAGGCUUGAGUCAGUGCCUGAGAUGUCUUAUGAUGCUUUAGCCGCUGUGCCACGUGGAGAAAUCUGUCUGCGAGGAACCACAUUGUUUUCUGGGUACCACAAGCAGCAGGAUCUUACUAACGAGACCCUUGUAGAUGGAUGGCUUCAUACAGGCAAUUGCGGUGGCAUCUAAGGAUGUCACCAAUGGUGAGAGUUCGGAGAAUGAGGUUGAUGGGGAUGAUGAUGGUGAUGGCGAUGAGGAAGAUUGAAAUGAAGCUACCUAGCUAGAUGCAUUAUUGGUAGGGAUGCUGAUUUUUUUAAAACAUUGCUUUUGGCUUUUGAUUGUUCAGCUGUAACGUAUAUGAUUGUUGGCUUUUGUUGGCUUUUUGGCUGAUCGUUCAGCUGUAACAUUUAUGUCGUACUGAAUUUUAUAACUGUUCUUUUAUAAAUAU